ACAAACAGGGUGAAGGGAAGGAGCGAAAAAGUAUUCAGGAAGUUAUAAAUGGAGUCUGCGCUAUUCCUUCUCCUACAAGAAGACGAAGAAGACGAGGAGGAGGGGGUGGAAACGAGAGACAGAGUGAGAGUGACGGGGUUGGGGAGGAAGGGGGGAAGCGUAAAGACGACCUUGGUCGAGGCGCCUCCCGCCAUCACUUGGACCCAGACGUCGCGUCGGGACACAGCAGCUCUGGACCGACCACAGCAUCCCAACUUCAUGCAGCAGUGGUGAGAUGAGAUGAGAUGAGAUGAGAUGAGAUGCGAAAUUAACAGCACAAUGCAUUCAUCACGCGCUUUCCUUGAUGAAGGGCACACACUCUUCUGAGGCUUGUCGUGAAUGUGUCAGAGUGCCUGCUAUUCUCAAUUACUUUCGAAUACGGAUUUUCAUAAAACCUGGAGUGACGAGCUUGUAAUACGAACACUGGCAGCGGAGAAGAGUGAAUAAGUAGGUCUGUUUUCAAGAACUGCUUUCAAGGACUUUAAUAAGACAUCCAGACUCUUACAGUUCCGACCACAGCUAAAUCCAGAAGGAGAGGCUUUGAAAACUUUGGAUGAAUGUCGAUAAUCUUCAGAGGAGAACGAAGUCGUCCACUUGCGGCAACGGCUAUCAUUGAUUAUACUGAAGUAAUCGUAGCCAAGAACAGGCUGUAAACACCGCCACACGCGGCUUCGUACGUCCCCUGCAGAGCUCUACCUGGACCACACUGAAGAGACGUCUCCACGCGUUUCUCCUCGUACACAACUAUGCGGGAGGCGGACACAACAUGUCUCCGGCAGAGCCAUCUAUGAGAACAACGUUAAACCAUUUACCCCCACUCCUUAAUGUAUAUCCUUCUCUUUCUUUCCAAUGCCCGCUCCAUCCAUCUCAUCCCAUUUUCCCAACACAGCAGCAUUUCGCCUUUAUUACUUUGAUGAAUCCCUUACAGUACCCUCCCCGCCGUACCCUGUUCCCGUUCUGCACCCCCCCUUACCUCUUGACAACUUUCGCCACCCAUCCCUCUUUCAAAGCCCACCCUCACCAACACAUUAAACCGUCACGUUUGCGCAUGACUGGGAAUUAUAAUUAGAUUCGUAAUGUCCAGUUAUUAUUCUUUAGUCUACUAUCAUUUCUGAAAACAUCAGAGUACAACUGGCAGUGGUAUUGUAUUGGAGCUCGGAAACUUCUAUCCAACGAUUUACCCUAAUAACUUCUAACGAAAAAUAAAUCGUAUAAUCUUUUUUUUAUUGAUUUUCGCUUAU